UACGAGAAGGUUUCUUCGGAAUCCGAGUAAAGUGGCGAACGGGUGAGUAAUGCAUAGAUAACUUGCCCUCGAGAUGGGAAUAACUUUUCGAAAGAAAUGCUAAUACCCAAUGUCGCCUCGAAUCGAUGGGUUUGAGAUGAAAGGAGGCCUCUGAUUUAAGCUUCCGCUCGGGGAGAGGUUUAUGUCCUAUUAGCUUGUUGGUGAGGUAAAGGCUCACCAAGGCUACGAUGGGUAGCCGACCUGAGAGGGUGACCGGCCACAUUGGGACUGAGACACUGCCCAAACUCCUACGGGAGGCUGCAGUCGAGAAUCUUCCGCAAUGCGCGCAAGCGUGACGGAGCGACGCCGCGUGGGCGAUGAAGGCCUUCGGGUUGUAAAGCCCUGUCAGUUGCUAGGAAAUGCAGGUGGCGAAUAGCUAUCCUGUUAGACCCAGCGACAAAGGAAGCACCGGCUAAAUACGUGCCAGCAGCCGCGGUAAUACGUAUGGUGCAAACGUUGUUCGGAAUUACUGGGCCUAAAGAGCGCGUAGGCGGCUUGGUAAGUUAGGUGUGAAAUCCCUCGGCUCAACCGGGGAACUGCACCUAAUACUGCCUAGCUAGAGUGCAGGAGGGGAGAGUGGAAUUCCUGGUGGAGCGGUGAAAUGCGUAGAUAUCAGGAGGAACGCCGGUGGCGAAAGCGACUCUCUGGACUGUUACUGACGCUGAGGCGCGAAAGCUAGGGGAGCAGACGGGAUUAGAUACCCCGGU
rnacentral:rRNA from 1 species